CCUCUGGUAGCUCAGUUGGUAGAGCGGUGGACUGUAGAUCAAUAGGUCGCUGGUUCAAAUCCGGCCCAGAGGA